CGCCCAGCAGCAACCACAUUAGGAAGGAAUCGGAAACCAACGCUCCGCUGGCUGUCACCCCUUACCCACUUGCUGUCAGGUGUCCAAACAGUGUCAUCCGGUGUCCUGACAUGCGGCCCCAAUGGACUGAUCCAGGGUGGAAAGGAAGAGUGAGAAGAAAUCAGACAGAAGAAUUCAGGAGAUGUGGCAACAGAGUGGAUGUAGCAGAAGGGACAUAGAGAGUGCCUAAAGAUGAGUCUUUGGUCAGCAUGUGAUGAAAAGAAUGAAGACACUGGGGAAGUGGGGAGCAGAAGCGGAUGUGGGCCCAGGAGGAAGAAGAAUUUGGGACCUGGGAGUUUGGGAGAAAAGCAAAGAAGGCCUGGGGUUGAGUGAGACACAGGGUCCCAGCCAGCAGCUAGAACACGAGGAGAAAAGAAGAAAGGACUCACUGAAAGGGAAUUGCUGAAGAGGACCUUUAUAUCUGAGGGCUUUACUUUGUGCUUUGUAAUUUCCCUUUGUCAUCCUCAUCUUUUAGGAAACUGAUUAACCACUAUAAUUUACGUCGUAUUAGCAACGCCUUAGAGAAUGAAGGAGGAACUGUACUUAUUCUUGGAGCGUAGCCUGGAGAGAGGCAGAAGCCUUCAGGAGCUGUUACUAGGUAGUAGGAAAUCACUCUCUCUAGAGUCCUCUGAAACAGUCUGGAAGAGAAUGGAUUUCCUGCUGUUGUGCAGGAUGAGGGUUUGAGUACAGUAAUUUAAUUUACUUAUUUAAAAAAUACUGGAAGAUGGGGAGGGAGGAUGGGUCAGAUUAUAAUAUGUUCAUAUGUCUAAGGCAGGAAAUUAGAUACAAGAUGAAAUCUAAGAAAGUUCUGUGAUUGGGUUUCUCCCACAGAAGGAGGAGAAAAUCCCUGCAUCUCUGGUUAUGCAAAUAAUAUGCAAAUUACAGUGAUUACAUACUUGCUUAGAAAAUUUUGAUUACCUCAUUUUGACUUCAGGCAGAGUUGGGACACCAAAAGGGAAUGUUUGUCAACAGUCCAGAGUUGUUAGAUUUCUUCCAGGGGAAAUGAAAGGGUAAAUUUCUUACCAAACACAAGGGUUUUAAAUAAGUUUUUCAAACUCCUUAAUGUCUCCCUUCCACAAAGCAUACCAAAAAAAAAAAAAAAUUACAAUAGAGUCAAAAUGUGAUCUGUAGACAAAAUGAAGGACAAAUGGUUUUCCCCCCUAAAUUUUACUCCAGGGUACAUUUUCUCCUCUUUCUUUGUCGAACAAUGUGAAGUAAGGGCUUGGAUUUUGUCCUGCAGAUGGUUUUGCAAUCAGUUCUAGCCAUUUCUCUAAGUCUGGGCUUCAAAUCUGUCAGUUGAGAGUGAUACAGUUGCCUGUCCCAUGGUGGUGUUAAGUGAGGCUGAGAGCAUCAAACAAAUGUCCCAGCUCCUGCCACAGUUGCAUCCUUGACACGUUCCAGUGGUGCCCGAGCAACACUGCAAAGACCCCCUGGGAUGUCUGUUGGCAAGAAAAGGUGGAGCCACUGCCCUGGGGGGCUGGGAAGGGAGUUAGAGAACUACUGUCUUAACCUAAAAUUUGGGCAGAAUCUGCCUUGGAUCAAAUUUAAAAUCUUUUCUGAAUAUUAGCUGACUUGAUUAGAAACUAGUUGUCUCUCCCCUUCUCAGCAGAAGACUGUGGAAUGUGUCUCCUAGCAACAGAGAU
rnacentral:lncRNA from 10 species